rnacentral:rRNA from 1 species
GGGCAACCCUGAUCCAGCCAUGCCGCGUGUGUGAAGAAGGCUUUCGGGUUGUAAAGCACUUUCAGUGAGGAGGAAGGCCUUAAGGUUAAUACCCUUGAGGAUUGACGUUACUCACAGAAGAAGCACCGGCUAACUCCGUGCCAGCAGCCGCGGUAAUACGGAGGGUGCAAGCGUUAAUCGGAAUUACUGGGCGUAAAGCGCGCGUAGGUGGUUUGAUAAGCGAGAUGUGAAAGCCCCGGGCUUAACCUGGGAACGGCAUUUCGAACUGUCAGGCUAGAGUGUGGUAGAGGGUAGUGGAAUUUCCUGUGUAGCGGUGAAAUGCGUAGAUAUAGGAAGGAACACCAGUGGCGA